rnacentral:rRNA from 1 species
UACGAAGGGGGCUAGCGUUGUUCGGAAUUACUGGGCGUAAAGCGCGCGUAGGCGGAUCGCUAAGUCAGGGGUGAAAUGCCGAGGCUCAACCUCGGAACUGCCUUUGAUACUGACGAUCUGGAGAUCGGGAGAGGUUGGUGGAAUUCCGAGUGUAGAGGUGAAAUUCGUAGAUAUUCGGAGGAACACCAGAAGCGAAGGCGGCCAACUGGCCCGAUACUGACGCUGAGGCGCGAAAGCUUGGGGAGCAAACAGG